AUUGAACGCUGGCGGCAGGCCUAACACAUGCAAGUCGAACGAGUGGCGGACGGGUGAGUAAUGUCUGGGAAACUGCCUGAUGGAGGGGGUUAACUACUGGAAACGGUAGCUAAUACCGCAUACCAUCAGAUGUGCCCAGAUGGGCUUAGCUUGUUGGUGGGGUAACGGCUCACCAAGGGGACGAUCCCUAGCUGGUCUGAGAGGAUGACCAGCAACACUGGAACUAAAACACGGUCCGGACUCCUACGGGGGGCAGCAGUGGGGAAUAUUGCACAAUGGGCAAAAGCCUAAUACAGCCAUGCCGCGUGUAUGAAGAAGGCCUUCGGGUUGUAAAGUACUUUCAGCGGGGAGACGUUACCCGCAGAAGAAGCACCGGCUAACUCCGUGCCAGCCGCCGCGGUAAUUC
rnacentral:rRNA from 1 species